rnacentral:tRNA from 1 species
CUUUUAAAGGAAACAAGCCCUUCAUUGGUCUUAGGAGCCA